GAGGUAUAGGUAACCAUAUUUUCUGAACCAAAAAUUGAGAGACAUAACCAGAUAACUACUCUAAAGUUUUGUUUUGUUUUGUUUUUUGAGACAGGGUUUCACU